CUGUAGCCUUCUUGUAGAAACAUAACAUUCCGAUUCUACGCGAUGUUACGCCUUCGUCUCGCUGUCCUUCUCGCUGCCUGCUUCGUGGUAGCCAAGGCGGGCCAUAAGUGCUCCCGUUACUGCGAGACUCCAGCGAAGACUUACGUGUGUUGUGAUCCCCCAAUUCCCCCUCGCUGCCCCUACCCCCCUCCGUGCGCUGACUUCUUCGACGGCAACGUCCCU